rnacentral:rRNA from 1 species
AUGCAGAUGAAGUUGAAGGCUGCCUAUACCUUGAUAGAGCAGCUAUAUUCCGGAUCCCAACAGGCUAUUUGCACUGCUGCUUACAACAGGCCUCCUCCAACGUUGAUAAAAGAAACCAUCGAGAAGCUGUCAAUGUUGCCUGCCCGGUUGGAUGAACUUAAAAAAUCAGCUGCAAGGUCAGGCGCGCUGACUGCGCUAAUCCGGGCCAAGGCAUGGAUUCCAGAUCUUGAACCGGCAGAUAUUGGCCAAGGCUAUCCCGGCGUGAAGGAAGACGGUUCAGAAUUUAACAAUGAUGAUCUCCGAAGGCUGACAAGGGAAAUGCGACCCAUAGCAAGCAAAUUGGUGGAUGAAAUGGAUCUGUCUCAUUAUCAGCCGGUUUAUGAUGCUAAUCAGAAAAGAUAUCCUGCGCCAACACAUGAUGUCGAAGAUCUUGUUCCGCCAAUUCGUAAGUACACUUAUGCCCCUGUCAUUGAUCCUUCCACCCUUAUAAGUGAAGAAGCCGUGUUCCAAGCUUUAACUGGAAUCGAUUGGGCAACGAUUGAUUUCCAGCCACUGGGUAGAGAGGAGGAGGAUGCACCGACUCAAGAUGACCCUCAAUCUUCAAGUCGUCCUGGUGAUGAAUCUUGA